GACGAACGCUGGCGGCGUGCUUAACACAUGCAAGUCGAACGGAAAGGCCCUGCUUUUGUGGGGUGCUCGAGCGGCGAACGGGUGAGUAACACGUGAGUAACCUGCCCUUGACUUUGGGAUAACUUCAGGAAACUGGGGCUAAUACCGGAUAGGAGCUCCUGCUGCAUGGUGGGGGUUGGAAAGUUUCGGCGGUUGGGGAUGGACUCGCGGCUUAUCAGCUUGUUGGUGGGGUAGUGGCUUACCAAGGCUUUGACGGGUAGCCGGCCUGGGAGGGUGACCGGCCACAUUGGGACUGAGAUACGGCCCAGACUCCUACGGGAGGCAGCAGUGGGGAAUAUUGCACAAUGGGCGGAAGCCUGAUGCAGCAACGCCGCGUGCGGGAUGACGGCCUUCGGGUUGUAAACCGCUUUCGCCUGUGACGAAGCGUGAGUGACGGUAAUGGGUAAAGAAGCACCGGCUAACUACGUG
rnacentral:rRNA from 1 species